GGAGUUAGCCGGUGCUUCUUCUGUGAGUGAUGUCCUUCCUGCCGGUUAUUGACCCGCAGGCCUUCUUCCUCACUGAAAGUGCUUUACAACCCGAAGGCCUUCUUCACACACGCGGCAUGGCUGGAUCAGGGUUGCCCCCAUUGUCCAAUAUUCCCCACUGCUGCCUCCCGUAGGAGUCUGGGCCGUGUCUCAGUCCCAGUGUGUCUGAUCAUCCUCUCAGACCAGCUACGGAUCGUCGCCUUGGUGAGCCGUUACCUCACCAACCAGCUAAUCCGACAUAGGCUCAUCCGAUAGCGCGAGGCCCGAAGGUCCCCCGCUUUCCCCCGUAGGGCGUAUGCGGUAUUAGCCUGGGUUUCCCCAGGUUAUCCCCCACUACCGGGCAGAUUCCUAUGCAUUACUCACCCGUCCGCCGCUCGCCACCAGGGAGCAAGCUCCCCGUGCUGCCGCUCGACUUGCAUGUGUUAGGCCUGCCGCCAGCGUUCAAUCUGAACCAAGAUCAAAUUCUGA
rnacentral:rRNA from 1 species